rnacentral:rRNA from 1 species
AUUGAACGCUGGCGGCAUGCUUUACACAUGCAAGUCGAACGGCAGCACAGGGAGCUUGCUCCCGGGUGGCGAGUGGCGCACGGGUGAGUAAUACAUCGGAACGUGUCCUGUUGUGGGGGAUAACUGCUCGAAAGGGUGGUUAAUACCGCAUGAGACCUGAGGGUGAAAGCGGGGGAUCGCAAGACCUCGCGCAAUUGGAGCGGCCGAUGCCCGAUUAGCUAGUUGGUGGUGUAAUGGACUACCAAGGCGAUGAUCAGUAGCUGGUUUGAGAGGAUGAUCAGCCACAAUGGGACUGAGACACGGCCCAU